rnacentral:lncRNA from 1 species
CUUGGUUGAUUCAGCCUUCAAAUGAACCUACUUCUUAAAAUCUGAUGCCAGGCAAUCAUCAAAGCAGCAUGAAGGAAUAAUCAGAUCACCAGGGACAGACUGGCAACCGUUCAGAGCUGCUCUUGGACUCCGUGGAGCCUGCUUUGUUGCCGCAGCUGUAGAAGGAUUGUCAAACAUGACAACUAGUGAUUUUGAAAGACAUUUUUAGUUUAGUAUCAAUCCCCAGGAAUUUGGGACAUUGAUGCUAAAAUAUAAGCAAAAUUUUUAGGUAUUAUUUUCACUUUCAGAUGAUGACUACUACUACAGUAAGUUGACUAUGAUUUAAAGGUUACACGAGGCCAAUUUCUUUAUUGGAAACUUUUUGUAAAAAGAUACUAAUGUACUGCUGUUUCUCCAGAACCUUUUUCUUUUCCAAUCAGCCUCUUCAUGGCCCCCUUGAACUCCUUAUUCCUUAGUGUAUAAAUCAAUGGAUUCAAGCUGGGAGUAACAAUGGAAUAAAAGAUACUGAGAAGUUUACCCUCAUCCUGAGAAGGACUAUUUCCUGGUUGUAUGUACAUGUAGAUAAUAGUCCCAUAGAAGAUAGACACCACAAUGAGAUGGGAAGAACAAGUCCCAAAUGCCUUUUGUCUCCCUGCUGCAG